UCGGCGAAAGCCGAAUUAAUACCGCAUGUGGCUAAGGGAGACAUCUCUCUGACGCUAAAGGUGGCGCAAGCUACCGCUUUUUGAGGAGCCCGCGGCCUAUCAGCUAGUUGGUGUGGUAACGGCUCACCAAGGCUUUGACGGGUAGCUGGUCUGAGAGGACGACCAGUCACACUGGAACUGAGACACGGUCCAGACACCUACGGGUGGCAGCAGUCGAGAAUUUUUGACAAUGGGGGAAACCCUGAUCGAGCGACGCCGCGUGGAGGAUGAAGGUCUUCGGGUUGUAAACUCCUGUCAUUUGGGAACAAGUCGUAUGUAUUAACUGUACAUGCAUUGAUAGUACCAGAAGAGGAAGAGACGGCUAACUCUGUGCCAGCAGCCGCGGUAAUACAGAGGUCCCAAGCGUUGUUCGGAUUCAUUGGGCGUAAAGGGUGCGUAGGUGGCGUCGUAAGUCAGGUGUGAAAUCUCGGAGCUUAACUCCGA
rnacentral:rRNA from 1 species